GACGAAGGGGGCUAGCGUUGUUCGGAAUCACUGGGCAUAAAGCGCACGUAGGCGGCGACGUAAGUUGGGUGUGAAAUCCCUCGGCCCAACCGAGGAACUGCGCCCAGUACUGCGUUGCUUGAGGAUCCAAGGGGUGCAUGGAAUUCCCGGUGGAGCGGUGAAAUGCGUUGAUAUCGGGAGGAACUCCGGCGGCGAAAGCGGUGCACUGGUGGAUUUCUGACGCUGAGGUGCGAAAGCCAGGGGAGCAAACGGG
rnacentral:rRNA from 1 species